GACGAACGCUGGCGGCGUGCUUAACACAUGCAAGUCGAACGGAAAGGCCCUGCUUUUGUGGGGUGCUCGAGUGGCGAACGGGUGAGUGACACGUGAGUAACCUGCCCUUGACUUUGGGAUAACUUCAGGAAACUGGGGCUAAUACCGGAUAGGAGCUCCUGCUGCAUGGUGGGGGUUGGAAAGUUUCGGCGGUUGGGGAUGGACUCGCGGCUUAUCAGCUUGUUGGUGGGGUAGUGGCUUACCAAGGCUUUGACGGGUAGCCGGCCUGGGAGGGUGACCGGCCACAUUGGGACUGAGAUACGGCCCAGACUCCUACGGGAGGCAGCAGUGGGGAAUAUUGCACAAUGGGCGGAAGCCUGAUGCAGCAACGCCGCGUGCGGGAUGACGGCCUUCGGGUUGUAAACCGCUUUCGCCUGUGACGAAGCGUGAGUGGCGGUAAUGGGUAAAGAAGCACCGGCUAACUACGUG
rnacentral:rRNA from 1 species